rnacentral:lncRNA from 1 species
AGCCACAACAAGUCGGAGAUUACCAAAAUCCCAAAUGUAAAGCUUAAUUUCUGCCAUAAUUUUUAUAUCAGUGCACCGGUUUUAGUGGUCAAGUGUAUUGAGUCCAUUUUCAAGUAUGCAGAGAUCAUCACCAUCACGUGAGUUACAGGACACAAUGGUAAAUUCCUUCUGUGGCUCAAGCACCAUGACGACUGACUUCAGCUUGCAAUCCUGGUCCUGUAGCUCCUGGUUGUUAUGCAUCAUCAAUAGUUUCUCCAGAUUGUUGUAUAUUCUCACCGUCGCAGCAUCAUUAUCUGAUAAAAUGACAUGAGCAAUACUGAAAGCUUCACCUUGCUCAACUGCAAAUUGCAACUGUCUCACUGACAUUUCAAACCAGUCUUUGGUUGGAUUUCUGGUUGCUUUAACUUCAAUGAACUCUCUCCUACCUUCAUUGUCUACAAUUAUGUCAUAUGGUAGCCUUGUUUCCCUAUGCUCAUUAACCCACUUCACAGCUGAUUUGCCAGCUUUAUCAAUGAAGUAUUUAAAAGCAGCAAGCUCACCUAGUCUUCCAGUUUCCUUUGCUUGUAUUGCAUCAGGUGUGCAAGUACUAAGACGAUCUCUCUUCCCAAAGUUAGAUGAGCCACACUGAGGAGUACCUGUAAUGGGAAUCAUCUUGUCCAUAUGUCUAACAGAUCUGUUAUAAUUAUCCUCCCUGUUCUUUUGUAAGUCACUUCUAGGAUUUAAAAUUGG